AGCGAACAUUGGCGGUAGGCUUAACACAUGCAAGUCGAGCGAGGCGUAAUAGUCGAGCGGCGAACGGGUGAGUAAUACAUGGAAAUCUACCCUGAAGUGGGGGAUAACGUCCAGAAAUGGACGCUAAUACCGCAUAAUCCAUAUUGGGAAAGCGUUGCAGCGCCUUAGGAUGAGUCCAUGGCUGAUUAGCUUGUUGGUGAGGUAACGGCUCACCAAGGCGACGAUCAGUAGCUGGUCUGAGAGGAUGACCAGCCACACUGGAACUGAGACACGGCCCAGACUCCUACGGGAGGCAGCAGUGGGGAAUCUUGCGCAAUGGGGGCAACCCUGACGCAGCCAUACCGCGUGAGUGAUGAAGGUCUUCGGAUUGUAAAGCUCUUUCGGCGGGGACGACGAUGACGGUACCCGCAAAAGAAGUCACGGCUAACUUCGUGCCAGCAGCCGCCGUAA
rnacentral:rRNA from 1 species